UAAAUUAGAGAGAAAGAAAGAACAACAAAAAAAAAAAAAGGGAAAGAAAGAGAGAGGGUUCGGCCAAGGUAUGGCCAAGCAUGGCCAUGGGAGAUUUGAUCAAGAAAAAUUAUUUCUUUCAAGCUUUUAUACUAAGUGGAAGGUUCUCUACAACGUGGAGUAUUCGUUGGAACAAGUGAAUCAUUCGUUUCGCAAAAAUGAGGUUCUAGCCGGGAAAAGGAACUAGUGCUAAGAUUAACAAGUUGGACGAAUAAGCGUAGCUAGUAAGGCGCGGCGCAGGUACACCCAGAUGAGCUGAGGCCCUUAUAGAAGAUGUUCCAGCGAAGUUGGCGAGCUCCAGUUAGCCCGGGAGUGUAGCCGAGUCAGUGUAUAUGUGCCAUGGUUUCCGAUUGCAGUUAGAGACUUUGCAGACA